rnacentral:rRNA from 1 species
UACAGAGGGUGCGAGCGUUAAUCGGAAUUACUGGGCGUAAAGCGUGCGUAGACGGUUAUUUAAGUCGGGUGUGAAAGCCCCGGGCUCAACCUGGGAAUUGCAUUCGAGACUGAAUAGCUAGGGUACGGUAGAGGGAAGCGGAAUUUCCGGUGUAGCGGUGAAAUGCGUAGAUAUCGGGAGGAACACCUGCGGCGAAGGCGGGUUGCUGGGCUGAUACUGACGCUGAUGCGCGAAAGCCAGGGGAGCGAACGGG